GGAGUAGUAAACCUAAUUGGUAAGGUAGGAGAUUGCUAAUCUCUGAGUAAUCGUUUCGUGCGGUGUGGUGGUUCGAGUCCACUCUACUCCG
rnacentral:tRNA from 1 species